rnacentral:rRNA from 1 species
CCCUUAGAUGUUCUGGGCCGCACGCGCGCUACACUGAAGGGAUCAGCGUGUUUUCCCUUCCCGAGAGGGACGGGUAACCCGCUGAACCCCCUUCGUGGUAGGGAUCGGAGCUUGCAAUUGUUCUCCGUGAACCAGGAAUUCCCAGUAAGCGCAAGUCAUAAGCUUGCGUUGAUUACGUCCCUGCCCUUUGUACACACCGCCCGUCGCUACUACCGAUUGGAUGGUCCGGUGAAGCCUCGGGAUUGUGGUUCUUGCCGCUUUAUUGUGGCGUGACCGCGAGAACUUGUCUAAACCUUAUCAUCUAGAGGAAGGUGAAGUCGUAACA